rnacentral:rRNA from 1 species
GAUGAGCGCUGGCGGCGUGCCUAAUACAUGCAAGUCGAGCGAACGGACGAGAAGCUUGCUUCUCUGAUGUUAGCGGCGGACGGGUGAGUAACACGUGGAUAACCUACCUAUAAGACUGGGAUAACUUCGGGAAACCGGAGCUAAUACCGGAUGAUAUUUUGAACCGCAUGGUUCAAAAGUGAAAGACGGUCUUGCUGUCACUUAUAGAUGGAUCCGCGCUGCAUUAGCUAGUUGGUAAGGUAACGGCUUACCAAGGCAACGAUGCAUAGCCGACCUGAGAGGGUGAUCGGCCACACUGGAACUGAGACACGGUCCAGACUCCUACGGGAGGCAGCAGUAGGGAAUCUUCCGCAAUGGGCGGAAGCCUGACGGAGCAACGCCGCGUGAGUGAUGAAGGUCUUCGGAUCGUAAAACUCUGUUAUUAGGGAAGAACAUAUGUGUAAGUAACUGUGCACAUCUUGACGGUACCUAAUCAGAAAGCCACGGCUAACUACGUG